CGCACGCUGUGUGCUUCUGGUUAUGUAACUCUCUGGGAACCAGGCGUCCCGGUGGGGAGGCGGCAGCCAUUGCCGGGGGCUGGAGCCGGGGCCCCACGUUUCCGGACGGAGCGGCCCUGGUCUUGAAUACGGUGGUGGUCCCGGGCAUCUGUACCCAUGACCGAAUUCAUAGAAACACACACAGCACGGAAGACCUGCUGGAGGCAGGAUCACUCUGUGGUUGCUGCUUCAAAUCCUGUGGACCAGGGCAAAGGCUGAGACUUCGCUUGACUAUGAGCUCUGCCAUUCACAGAGAGCCCUGACCUGGCGCCUGACACUGUCCUCACGGAGACAUUUGUUGAAUAGAGGACAGAACUUGACAGCAAACUAACAACAGAAUUGACAUUGGUUGAAAAGAAUGCAAGUUACUAGUUGAUCCAAGAGCAAGAAAAUGUUACCAAGAAAAGCAGAGCUUCAAGAAGCCAAA